AUGCAGCACCGGUGUGACAAUCUCGCCGCCGGAGUGCCUGUGGCAGCUGCCCCCAAGUCCGGCUGCCGCCCGCCCUUGCCCUUUGUCGCCUCAAGCCGCGGCUGCCCUGGUCUUCCCCGGCGCCUACUCUCCGUCUGGACGAGUGCAACGCAUCCUCCCGAGCCCGCCGGUGCCUCCCGCCCGGUCGGCCCGUUGCGGCAACGCCCCUCCGCUGCUCCCUCCUAUGUUCCUGUGUGUGGCAGGGCGAGGAAGAAGACGAAGGUGAGCCAGGCAGGCCCGUGUCGCCUCAAACCCACCUGUAAGCGACCAGAAGCACGACCAAGUCAGCAUCAACUUAAGGUUCUAGGAAUAAUCAAUAGUAAAGUUGGCGGUGUAGAAAAACCAGGAUCAUAUGUAUACGUUCAAUUUCAGACCACAACAUGGCCUACAAGGAGGGAAUUAGCUAGGCAACGGAAGAAGCCUGAAAGAAAUAAAAAAGUGAUAGCAGCAUACUGGUUAAGAGUAGAGGCUUCAGAAGAUGUUGCAGAGGUGUGGAAGAAGUUAGGCAACUUCAGGAGCAUAGCAACACAAUGGGAUGGGAAGGUGCUGCACCUGCGUGCAUCUGCAUCAGGGAGGGAGGGUGUGAGUGAGGGGAGCCGCCAAAUCCAAAACAAUCAAGAGUCCAGUUGGGAGAGGAGAAGAGGGACCUUGACGACAUCCAGGCAUUCCAUGGCGGCUGCGGCGACUCCAUGGCCAUGGGAAAGAGGCGCACGGACCUGGCCUUCCGUGGCUGCAUGCUGGGGCGAGGUGGAUUGGAUCCGGCUGGGAGCAGAGGAGAGAAGGCGUCCCAUCCCAAGAGAAGAGGAGAGAGACUCGCUCCGGCGGAGUGGCGGAGUGGCGGAGGCCAAGCUGCGGCGGGGCGGCUUCGGCGGCAGGGGAGGCUCCCGACGAGCCGCGGCGGGAGCGGGGCGGGCUCCCGCGGUCGGGGAGGCUCCUGGCGACCCGCGGCCGCUUCCCGUGGCUCCGGCGGCGCGAGGAGGCGGUGAAGGGCGCGGCUGCGGGAGGCGAACGGCGCGGCUGCGGGAGGAGGAGGAGGAGGUCGUGCGGGCGGGCGGUUUACUUUCUGUUUUACUGCGGGGCAUAGUAGCGAUCGCACUGUGGCUUGUUGCGUGGUUGAUAGCAUCGAGAAAAACGGCGCCGCCGCUCCUCGCUUCUCCUCCUUCUGUGCACUUCCCCCUGAUCCACCCGAGUCGACCCUGCCUCCAGUCAUCGCUCGCGCUCCUGCAAGCCGUCGCCGACCUCCUCAGCCGGUCAACCGCGCCCAACACCCUCCUUCAUUUUCUCCCCCUCUCCCCACUAAUCUCUCUCUGUUCCCAAACUACAGGACGCCAUGGCCACCGGGGGCAGGGGGACGCGGCCGCGAUGGCCCCGAGCUCGGCGGCAUGGAAGCCAUUGGAGGCACUCGCGAGGCCGAUGUCGGUGAGCCUGGCAGCGGCGGUCGGGUGCAUUGAGCGCAGGGAACAGACGGAUCCCCGAUGCUCUGCACCGCCAUCGUUGCCACCGGAUUCGGCAGGGAACAGACGGACCCGUGGAGCCCGCAUCGUAUCCGCCGUCCCAGCUUCCCGUUGCUCCACCGGCGUCCUGGUCCGUCCUGGUCUUCGUCACCAGCCAAGAUCCCUUAGCACCGCCGCCCCGAACGAUCUCCAGCCGCCUCCACGCGCACGGGAUCGAGCGAGGCCGCGCCUGCGUCCCACGUCCGCUUCAUCCCAUGGGUCGUUAGCCUUCGCCUCGGCCCAGCUGCCUCGCGUCCAGCCUACAGCCGCCCUAAGCAACCGGCACAAGUGGCGGGAGCAGCUGUCAGGACCACGGGCAUGGCUGGGCAGUGACAUGUGCGUGUCCAAAUACAAUCAAUUUACCCCCCUGCCUGGUAUAGCAAAAUUAGAGUUGAAGCUCUCUGAGUAUAACAAAAAGAUGUCAUAUCUGCAACAGAUGGUUCAGGAGCUAGCCUCAAAGUCGACCAUCUCCGGCAGAGCAAAAACUUCUACCGAAUCGACAUAUAUGCUCCGCACCCAGGCAGGCGGUCCAGCAGCAGCGCAGUUGUCGUCAUCGGUGUCGAUGAGGGGCGUGCAGGCCGGUCAAAUGAGGGCACGGGCGAAGAACAACAUGACCAAGAGACUGUCCCCAUUGGGCCACAAGGUGGAGGGGAAGCAGGCGAGGGUCGAGGCGAGGGGCUGUGACAAGGUUGAUAACAUUCAAAUAUGGAAUUUUGAUAACUCAUUUAUGUGCACGAGGCCAGUAGAUGCAAAAAUGCCCGUGCGUUGCACCGGAAGAAAAGAAUUUAUCACACCACUGGCGGCAACUAAUGGAUCCCUUCCAAACAACAGGAAAUCAAAGAUCUUGGAUCUGACGAGAACUUACACUUGUUCUUCGGAACAACUGCGUCGACGAUCAAAGUCGGACACUGGUCACCAGUCAUGCACUGCCUCCGAUUCUGAAAGUGGUGAGGAUAAGCAGGCCAGACACGAAGUUUGCGGCUGUGGCCAUGAGGGCGACGAUCCUGUGCCCAUGGUGCAGCGCCGAGCUACAGAACACUCGCACGACCUUGCCGCAUCCAGCGGAGAGGGAGCACUGCUCAGACCUCACAAGGCGAAAACUACUGCUAGUGAAAUGCAGUGGAGACUGGAGACAGAUCAAUGCCCAGUGGAAGGCAUGAAUGAAGCUGCAAAAUCAGCCGAGACUGAUGCUGUCAUCUGCUCCUCCGCCGCCGCCGGGGCUUCAUUUGUGCAGGCCAUCGCAGAGGCGCGCGCGAAUUGCCGUUGGACGCUCUUCCAAGCGGCCGUCCUCUUCCUCACCGUCCGGAUUCUGGCCCUACCUCGCCGCCGCCUUGGCCUCGGCCACCAGGGACCGGUACUGGCGCACCCUCCACGCGAGGAUCCGGCGCUUCUCCGGCCUUUGGACCACGACGUGCGCAUCGUCACCGCUGCCGCUGCCGCGCCUCCUUUUGGCGCCCGGAUCCCUAUCGGCUGCGGUGCUCGGCUCGGCGUGGUCCGUGGGGCUGUCCCGCCCGCCGGCCGCUCCGCCUCUCUCAUUGCCAUGUCAAGGGCGAGCAUGCGCUUGGCGGAGCCGACGACGACCGCCCCCGCCGGUGCGCGGAGGAGGAUGGAUCCAUGUGCCCAGCCACUAUAA
rnacentral:rRNA from 1 species